GAUGAACGCUGGCGGCGUGCUUAACACAUGCAAGUCGAACGGGAAACCUUUUAUUGAAGCUUCGGCAGAUUUCGCUGGUUUCUAGUGGCGGACGGGUGAGUAACGCGUGGGUAACCUGCCUUAUACAGGGGGAUAACAGUCAGAAAUGGCUGCUAAUACCGCAUAAGCGCACAGAGCUGCAUGGCUCAGUGUGAAAAACUCCGGUGGUAUAAGAUGGACCCGCGUUGGAUUAGCUGGUUGGUGGGGUAACGGCCCACCAAGGCGACGAUCCAUAGCCGGCCUGAGAGGGUGAACGGCCACAUUGGGACUGAGACACGGCCCAGACUCCUACGGGAGGCAGCAGUGGGGAAUAUUGCACAAUGGGGGAAACCCUGAUGCAGCGACGCCGCGUGAAGGAAGAAGUAUCUCGGUAUGUAAACUUCUAUCAGCAGGGAAGAUAAUGACGGUACCUGACGAAGAAGCCCCGGCUAACUACGUG
rnacentral:rRNA from 1 species